rnacentral:rRNA from 1 species
AGUGAACGCUGGCGGUAGGCCUAACACAUGCAAGUCGAACGGCAGCACAGUAAGAGCUUGCUCUUACGGGUGGCGAGUGGCGGACGGGUGAGGAAUACAUCGGAAUCUACUUUUUCGUGGGGGAUAACGUAGGGAAACUUACGCUAAUACCGCAUACGACCUACGGGUGAAAGCAGGGGAUCUUCGGACCUUGCGCGAUUGAAUGAGCCGAUGUCGGAUUAGCUAGUUGGCGGGGUAAAGGCCCACCAAGGCGACGAUCCGUAGCUGGUCUGAGAGGAUGAUCAGCCACCCUGGAACUGAGACACGGUCCAGACUCCUACGGGAGGCAGCAGUGGGGAAUAUUGGACAAUGGGCGCAAGCCUGAUCCAGCCAUACCGCGUGGGUGAAGAAGGCCUUCGGGUUGUAAAGCCCUUUUGUUGGGAAAGAGAAGCAGCAGGUUAAUACCCCGCUGUUCUGACGGUACCCAAAGAAUAAGCACCGGCUAACUUCGUG